rnacentral:rRNA from 1 species
UGCAGUCGANCGGNNCCUUCGGGAUUAGUGGCGGACGGGUGAGUAACACGUGGGAACGUGCCCUUUGGUUCGGAACAACUCAGGGAAACUUGAGCUAAUACCGGAUGUGCCCUUCGGGGGAAAGAUUUAUCGCCAUUGGAGCGGCCCGCGUCUGAUUAGCUAGUUGGUGAGGUAAAGGCUCACCAAGGCGACGAUCAGUAGCUGGUCUGAGAGGAUGAUCAGCCACAUUGGGACUGAGACACGGCCCAAACUCCUACGGGAGGCAGCAGUGGGGAAUCUUGCGCAAUGGGCGAAAGCCUGACGCAGCCAUGCCGCGUGAAUGAUGAAGGUCUUAGGAUUGUAAAAUUCUUUCACCGGGGACGAUAAUGACGGUACCCGGAGAAGAAGCCCCGGCUAACUUCGUGCCAGCAGCCGCGGUAAUACGAAGGGGGCUAGCGUUGCUCGGAAUUACUGGGCGUAAAGGGAGCGUAGGCGGACUGUUUAGUCAGAGGUGAAAGCCCAGGGCUCAACCUUGGAAUUGCCUUUGAUACUGGCAGUCUUGAGUACGGAAGAGGUAUGUGGAACUCCGAGUGUAGAGGUGAAAUUCGUAGAUAUUCGGAAGAACACCAGUGGCGAAGGCGACAUACUGGUCCGUUACUGACGCUGAGGCUCGAAAGCGUGGGGAGCAAACAGGAUUAGAUACCCUGGUAGUCCACGCCGUAAACGAUGAGUGCUAGUUGUCGGCAUGCAUGCAUGUCGGUGACGCAGCUAACGCAUUAAGCACUCCGCCUGGGGAGUANGNUCGCAAGANUAAAACUCAAAGGAAUUGANGGGGNCCGCACAAGCGGNGGANCAUGUGNUUUAAUUCGANGCNNCGCGCANANCCUUACCACCUUUUNACNUGCCUGGACCG